rnacentral:rRNA from 1 species
GGAAUAUUGGACAAUGGGGGAAACCCUGAUCCAGCCAUGCCGCGUGUGUGAAGAAGGCCUUUUGGUUGUAAAGCACUUUAAGCGAGGAGGAGGCUACUUAGAUUAAUACUCUAGGAUAGUGGACGUUACUCGCAGAAUAAGCACCGGCUAACUCUGUGCCAGCAGCCGCGGUAAUACAGAGGGUGCGAGCGUUAAUCGGAUUUACUGGGCGUAAAGCGUGCGUAGGUGGUCUUUUAAGUCGGAUGUGAAAUCCCUGAGCUUAACUUAGGAAUUGCAUUCGAUACUGGGAGACUAGAGUAUGGGAGAGGAUGGUAGAAUUCCAGGUGUAGCGGUGAAAUGCGUAGAGAUCUGGAGGAAUACCGAUGGCGAAGGCAGCCAUCUGGCCUAAUACUGACACUGAGGCACGAAAGCAUGGGGAGCAAACAGGAUUAGAUACCCCUG